UCUUGCAGAAAUUAAAGCAGUUCAGUUUUAACUGUCAAAAUAAUAAAAUAUAUUUUAUUUCUUAUAAUUUAGAGCAUUUUUUGUUUGUUAAAUUAAGGUUUUUGAUGUUGAUCAAACGGUUAGUGGCCAACAGCAAGUUGACGACAUGUUUAAACAAUUGAGACUCUCAAAUCAACACUUCAAUUGCCUAUAAUAAAAUCUAUAUAAAAAUGUAUAUUAAGCAUAUCAGAAUGUUGGUUUAAAUGUUUAUUAUCAAAACACACUAUUUUUUUAAAAGCGGAGGGAGGCUGCUUUGUUGCUCGCAGUCGUGGUGGAAAAUUGCAGAAAAAUAAUGAAACGGUUAUACAAUUAAAACAAAACGAAAUAAUUAGAUAAAUUAGAUAAAAAAAUACUUUGAUGAUCAAGCCUGAACAAGAUGAUCAAGUCAAAGUUGGAUUUCUCCACUUAAACACAAUUGUAAUUUUUCCCAUUUUUAACACUUUGUCACUAAAAUUGCUAACAUUAUGUUUUGGGUCAGGGUUGUAUACUCUAUUAAUCUCACUUUACAUGUAAUGGUGUCACUGCAAUCGUGUAAAUACUUCACAUUUUUACUGUAGAUUUUAUUUACAUUUUAUGGUAUUUUAUUUACCUCAUCAUAAACUGUAAAAUGUAAAAGCGGCUCUACUUAAAAACUUACUUCAAUUGGUAAAACAUUUUUCACUUUAAUUUUUUCAAUUAAACCGAGAAAUUUAAGUUGAAAAAACAUUAAAUUUUUAGGCAUUAUCAAUAAUUUGAUUCAACUUUAACUUCUUAUAGUGUAUAUUAUUCAAAUAUAUAUUUACCAUUUAGGUAUGCUGUCUUGAUAAUCCCAUAAAAAUCUUGGUACUGUGCAGGCACUUGAAUAAGUUUCACUAAUAUACAUCUUAUACUGUAUAUUCUAUUGUGGAAUGUAAUAUACAUUGUAUAAAAAACACUAUACUCUUUAUAGUUUAUGUUCAGGGUACCCCCAGGAUUGUCAAACCUAAAUUCAAGGCUUUUUAAAGGGAACAUUCCACGAAAAUCCGACUUUUUCCGUUUUUAAGGGACCUAACUUGCUCCCGGGUGCAUCUAAUAACGUAGAAAACGCGAAAAAUGAUAUCCCUGUAACUUUGUUUUGGUAAGGCUUCCUCUGCAACCAUGUGAAAAAAUAGGCCAGUCAGAUCCUGUUCCCCCAGUGACGUGGGUAGGGGGGCGUAUCGUAAUGUCACCGCCCCUUAGUCUGCAUGUUUCCACCCCCGGCUGACAUUUAGUUUUCGCACGUGAGUCUACGUUUUACCGGUUGUAGCGAUAUGGCAAAAGUUAGAGCUAAGCAUGCUAAUUGUUCCGUUGUUGGUUGCACAGACCAACACAAAUCGUUAUUUAGACUCUCUACCUCAGAGGUGACAAGAGUACAGUGGAUUGAUUUCAUUUUCGAUGGAAAUCCUCCCGAAAUCGUAAGCAAAAACCUGUAUGUGUGUACACAUCACUUCAAGCCGGAGUGCUUUUUGAACCUUGGACCGUAUGAAGCUGGAUUCGCUUCAAAGUUGUUACUGAACGAGGGAGCUAUUCCAACUCAACGAGCCAAAGCUGCAGAUGAAGGAAACGUAUUUAAAAGUAAUUUAAUGUUUUACGGCAGUACGAUUUUCAGUUCGCGCUUUCCCUUAGCAACGGUAAAGCUACAGUUACACUACAAAUAAGCUUACUAACUUACUAGCACAAACAAAGGGUGUGUUUGACCGAAAUAUAUAGGCUUAUGCAUUCGACUCAAAACAUCUUAAACUACUAAUGUAAUGUUCAUUUGCACUGUAGAUAAUUUGCUAAUUGCUUGCUUUUAGGGUUUGAUUAAAACAAGCACCAAUACAUUUUAUUUGACUGCCAAGAAGUUGAUUAAGGCAAAGUGUAUUGCUUAAAUGUAGUAUUUCUUUCCGAGAUAUUUAAAUAAGAGCAUUAGACAAUUCAUAUAUUUUGAAAGCACAUUUAAGUUAAACAGUAGCCUCCUGUCUGUGGCUGUUAGGCAAACAGAUAUGCUGCUUAUAGUGUUGGUCCUCACUUGUAAAGAUGUAACUUAGGUCAUAGAGAUGUGUGAUCACCUCUUGACUGCGAGACGACUAUUAUCAACAUCUCACUAAAUUAAUGUACAACUAGAGCAUAGUGAAAUGUAGGACCUAUUCAAACAAAGUAAUGUUUUACUGUAUUAUGUAGACAUAAAUUAUUCUGCUAAAAUAUAGGCUUCAUAGCUAAAAAAAUCUCCCAUGUUUACUGUGUAAUAUAAACUUAUAUUUAGGGGUACAGUGUGAAGUUUGACUAAACAUGCAUUUAUAAUUUCAUUUUUCCCUUUACGGUUUAGGCAAGCACAUCUAAGCAGUUUGUUGAUGCGGCCUGUCAGACGGAUCGUCCACCUCCACAUACAUAUGGCACAGAGUUGUCUAUGAAGACUCUAUCACAUCCAUUUAGAAGCGAAGGCACAUAGACAGACAUUGUGUCCUGCGCCAAUGUUGGCAUUGGCACCUCAACUGUCAGAGCUUCAGGACCAUUGCAUACAUCAACACUGCACAAAAGACCCCGUUUUGAACUGGAGGAGGAAGACGAUGACCCUUUGGAAGGUAGCUCAUCUGUGAUCUUUACAGAUCCACAGGAUGUCACAUAUGAUCCUCAACACUCAGUCACUUUGACUGUAACUGAAGGUUUGACAAUGGAAAAUUCUGCUUCGACUCACAAAAUGUCAACAUACAUUCUGUAUGAGAAUUGCCUACUGGAUUUAUUUGAGUUAUGCCCAAGGUGUCAACAUCAUUCUAAUCAAAAGACCAGAACCAUGGGCACACACUUAAUAGUUGAGCAAAACUGCCCACGUUGUGAGUUCUCAAGGAUAUGGCAUAGUCAACCUAUUAUUGGGUCUACUCCUGCCGGAAACCUUCAG